GGGCCUGGGGGCUGAACCUCAGAGGUGGGGCUGAGAGGCUGAGAGUUGGAGAGAAGCAGAACCUGUGGGCGCCUGCAGGGGGGUGGCAGCCGACGGUGCCGGAGACGCCCUCACAGGGCGGACAGAUGCACAGACGCUGCCCACGGGGUUGGGCUUCUCUGGGGCAUGGGGGGAGUGGAGGCUGCCCCACCCCACCUCAUUCCUCCUCACCGAGCCUUCGACCCUGCGCCCUCAGCUCUGUCCCUCCAGCGUCUAGGCCCGUGACAGUGUCCUCUGUUGCACGGAGUGCCAAGCCAAGGACAAGAGCCAGGCCCGAAGCCGGCAUCCCACCCACGCCCACUGGGCCACUCAGCCGAGGCCCUAACGCUGGCCCAGGUUUGAGUCCUGGCUCUGCCUCCUGCAGGACGCGGUGCCUGCAGCCGCUGAGGACUUCUCUGGUCCUCAGUUUCCUCACCUGAAGAGUGGAGGCAAUCAUAGUAUUGGAUCCUUGUGUGGAUUAAACAGCGAUGCUUAGGGCUCCAAAUUGUGCCCGGCACGGAGAAGCUCCUGGUAUGCCCAUAACACGGAUGGAGAGACCGAGGAACAGAGAAGUCUGUAACUGAUCCAAGGCCACACAGCAAUGGUGGGGCCAGGAUCUGGACCCCGUGCUCUCACCCGCACCCACAUUCCAGCAGCUGAACAGCUCAGCCUUCGACUUGGGGUGCUGUGCGGGCGUUACAGCACCAGAAAGAAUGUCACAGUCAGCAUCAGACAUCGCUGCUCUGAAUGAGGCACGAGGCACAGAGCAGUUGGCACAACAGAGAAGCCCCCCCCAUCUAGGGAAUUUCUGUGCUGGCCUGGGGAGGGGGACACGGACGACAAACAGGCAAACCAGCAGAUGGACAGAUGGCUCGAUGGAUGAGUAGGCUGAGACGGGUGACGGGGCACACUACGGCCUCUCUGAGGAGGUGACACUUUUGCAGAGAGGGAAUGACUAGGAAGACAGAGUGGACAGUCCAGCAGGCGGAGGGCAGGGCGAAGGUCGGAGGUGGGGUCAAGGUUGGGGCCUGGGGGGUCAGACAGGAGCCCGGAGCUGGGUGCCGGGUCCGCCUGGGGUCAGACUUCCUCUGCCGCGUCCUGGGAGGGUUUAAGCACCGGCAGGGGCGGCCUGAUGGCAGCUCUGGGGGGGGAGCCCAGCUUCCCCGGAGAGGCACAGAGCUUUGGCGCCGUCUGCCCUGGGUGGAUCCCAUCCCUCCGGCCAGAGCCUGGGCUCGGCUACGGACUGUCCUCAGACCGUCCACCCGGAGAGGACAGCGAAGGCCAGCUGGAGUGUCAUCAGCAAGCCUCGGCCCUGGCCCCGGCCCCAGGGGCUCGGCAGAGGAACUCAGAUGGUUCAUCUCUUCCCGUGAAGUGCCAGCCUAGCAGCAGGAGAGCCCUGCACUUGCUGGAGAGAUUUCCCGUCCGGAGGAGCAGGGGUACUGUCCUGAGCAGCGGGGGCUCUGCGGGCAGCUCUGCCUCCCACACCCUGUGAGACCCCAGCCAGGGCCGCCUCCUGGGCCUCUGCUCUCUGCAGCGCAACAUGGGCCAGUGGGCCCAGCUCUCAGGCUGCAGGUGAUGUCUCCCUGCCCCUGUCAGGGGACCCAGAUCCUUCAUACUCACCAAGCCCUGACAGGCAAACUGGGACGGGCCCUGCCCCUGCCCCUGCCCCUGCCCAGGACGCCGGGUGCCCCUCGGGGCCUCAGUGUCGGUGUCCCUGGGGGGCUCGUGUCCCUGCCCCUGCUCACAAGCUGAGCUCUCUCCCUCUGGCCAGGCCAGAUUCUACUGAACUCUCCUGGGCCAGCCAAAGGCCUGGGCAAGGACUAGAAACUUCUGGGAGUAAAGCCGGUGCCUCUGAGCCCUGGGCCAACACCCACAUCCUUGAAUACCAGCUUCCAACAUAGAAGUAAGGGGUGGAGGCAAGCAUGUGUGGCUGGCUCAUCCCCAACUGCAGUUUGUCCCCUCCUGUAGCUCAUUCCUUCCUGAAGCUUGUCCCUUCCUGCAAUGUGCCCUCCUCGUGCUCCUAUAAGCCUUACUACCCCAGGGUGGGGACGUGGGGGUGAGAGGCAAGAACAGGACUCAGAAGAGACAGGCCUGCCCAUCGACCGCCAGCAGCCCACUUCUCCCUGCCUCAACGUCCUCAUCUGUCAGACAGGGCUGGGCGCGCCUCCUUGCAGAGGUGGUGGGAGUUGAAUGAGGGACUGUGGCUGCCUUUCCACCCAGGGUGCCGCUCAUCACAGGCACUUAGGGAGCAGCCGCUCCACACCAGGCUCGGGACUGGCUGCCCAGGCGCCCUGCUGGAGCGCGCAGGAGAGCAGGACAGGACCUGCGUCUACUGGUACCCACACUCCUUCUGCAGCAUCUGGCACAUUCUCUGGUGCUCAUAGGGUUUGUGGAGUAAUAUAACGACUGAGCAGCAUCUUUUCCCUGUCAAGAACAAAAUGAAAUGGAAUAUUAUUCAGCCCUAAAAAGGAAGGAAAUUCUGACACACACUACAACAUGGGUGAACCUUGAGGACAUGCGGCUAG
rnacentral:lncRNA from 1 species